UNUUAGCCCUAUAACACCCAGGUUCCCAUG
rnacentral:piRNA from 1 species